rnacentral:rRNA from 1 species
UACGAAGGGUGCAAACGUUGCUCGGAAUUAUUGGGCGUAAAGCGCACGUAGGCGGCUUAGCAAGUCGGAUGUGAAAUCCCUCGGCUCAACCAAGGAAGUGCAUCCGAAACUGCUGAGCUUGAGUACGAAAGAGGAUCGCGGAAUUCCCGGAUGUAGAGGUGAAAUUCGUAGAUAUCGGGAAGAACACCCGUGGCGAAGGCGGGCUCUCUGGGACGGUACUGACGCUGAGACGCG